GAUGAACGCUGGCGGCGUGCCUAACACAUGCAAGUCGAGCGAACGGACCAGAAGCUUGCGUGUCUGAGGUUAGCGGCGGACGGGAGAGUAACACGUGGAUAACCUACCUAUAAGACUGGGAUAAUUACGGGAAACAGGAUCUAAUACCGGAUAAUAUUUUGCACCGCAUUGUUCAAAAGUGAAAUACGGUCUUGGUGUAACUUAUAGAUGGAUCCGGGCUGCAUUAGUUAGUUGGUAAGGUAACGGCUUACCAAGGCGACGAUGCAUAGCCGACCUGAGAGGGUGGUCGGCCACCUGGGAAGGGAGGCACGGUCAAGACUCCUGAGGUAAGCCGCAGUAGGGAAUCGUACGCAAUGGGGGAGAGGCUGACAGAGCAACACGGCGUGAGUGAUGAAGGUCUUCGGAUCGGGAAGAUCUGUUAUUAGGGAAGAACAGAUGUCUAAUUAGACGUGGAGAUAUUGACGGUACCGGGUCAAAAAGCAACGGCUAACUACGUG
rnacentral:rRNA from 1 species